UGUCUGUAGAAGUGAAGAUAUAUAGUCAUCGACAGUAGAAUUAGUGUUGUAAGUUAUGCUACAAACAAACUUCGUCAGUCCUGAUUGCCAAGUAUAACUAAAUACAUCGUCUUUAAGAUAAUCGAAAUUGAUUUGCAAAUUCGUCGAACUUCUCAAACCUAUGACGGAGAGUUUUGCAGAUCACAAAUGUGGUGAACGUAUUAUUAUGAGGCGUUCAACACAAUCCAAGAUUGUUCAAACAGCGUAUGCGAAGAAAAUUAGAUCAUCAACCGUCGGUCCUGGCAAGAGCUGCUUACAACGUAGGUAGUGUAAAAAGUGCAAAUCUGACAUAAACGUGGAGAAAUACUUAGAUAAGUUGAAUGAAGGAAAGCGACAGAAAAUGGAUGUCAAUUUUCGAAGAAUAAAUUCAGCUUACUUAGGAGCAAAAAGUUUAAAGUUAGCAGUACAAAAAAGUGUUAACGAAUCCAUCUUGUUGGAACAUGUUUUUAAACUUUUCUCAAUAAUAUCUUUCGAUCCUUUACCACAAGAUAUCAUUAUCAAAUUUAUUAGAAGCAUUGAUCCCCAAAAAUCUGCCGAAGAUGUUUGUCUUCAUUUAAAGCAAUGUUCGAUAUUUCUUCAAUCUAAAAACAACGACAUCCGCCUGCACAGCGUUGUACAUGAAGCCAUUAUAAAUUAUCAUGAAGAAAACAUAUUUGCGAUAUCUUCUGCCGAUCUUGCCGGUCACGUUGCUUGGGCACUAUAUCAUUUUGAAGACAGAGAAGAUGAAAUCAAAA